GAUGAACGCUGGCGGCGUGCCUAAUACAUGCAAGUCGAGCGAACGGACGAGAAGCUUGCUUCUCUGAUGUUAGCGGCGGACGGGUGAGUAACACGUGGAUAACCUACCUAUAAGACUGGGAUAACUUCGGGAAACCGGAGCUAAUACCGGAUAAUAUUUUGAACCGCAUGGUUCAAAAGUGAAAGACGGUCUUGCUGUCACUUAUAGAUGGAUCCGCGCUGCAUUAGCUAGUUGGUAAGGUAACGGCUUACCAAGGCAACGAUGCAUAGCCGACCUGAGAGGGUGAUCGGCCACACUGGAACUGAGACACGGUCCAGACUCCUACGGGAGGCAGCAGUAGGGAAUCUUCCGCACUGGGCGCAAGCCUGACGGAGCACCGCCGCGUGAGUGAUGAAGGUCUUCGGAUCGUAAAACUCUGUUAUUAGGGAAGAACAUAUGUGUAAGUAACUGUGCACAUCUUGACGGUACCUAAUCAGAAAGCCACGGCUAACUACGUG
rnacentral:rRNA from 1 species